rnacentral:lncRNA from 1 species
UUGAAUUAAACUGAGGCAUAAAUAUUCAUUUUUAUUCAAAUGUCAUUGUAAUUCCCAUUGCAUCAAUAAAGAUUUAUAAGAAAGGCUAGCAUUUUGGCAUUACAAUGGUUUUUGUACAUUUGAAAUGUUUUAUCUAAGCCUAAUAUGAUCUACAAAACUAAACCUAAUGCUACUAAGUGUCCAAGCCUUGGUGCUCAAACCUUAAACUCCACAUUUCUCCAUUUCUUCACCAAAAAUCCAUCUAUUCUUUAUGCCUUCUUCAUCACCAAGCCAUAUUCAAGCCAUGAUAUGUCCAUCACCAUUAAAAACUUAGUUGCACCAAAAAGAUUUUUUUUUGUCAAGAUUAGCCAAUACCAUAACACAACCCAUGUUACCAAAUUUCACCAUGAUGGUAACACACCAAGGCCAUGUCAUAAAUGAAUUUAUGCAAGGCAGUACAAAAAUAACUUAUGCAAAAUACACUACAGAGUAAUUAUGUAGUAACCCAAAAAGAAACAAGGACAAUAUCAAUCCAUUAAAAUUAUCCCCCACUUCACACAACAUUUUAUUGUAGUAAAAUGAUAGGAGUAAGGAAGUGAACAAAAACCUUACAGUAGUAAAAAAAAACAAAACAAACAGAAAUUAAAAAAAACUCAUUCACUCAUUGCACAUGCUUAGGACACGCAUCCUCUCCCACUCACUCUCAAAACCCCACAAUAUCAGGGGUGGAUGCAAAUUUCUACAACUCAUUAACAACUAUGAAUCCCAUUCCUUCUUAUCCAUUUCAUUCACACAUUUGAGUAGGGGAAACUAUCUUCCUCAAUACUCUCACACAAGUACAAAAAUCCAUCUUCAUAAUGCUAUAAAUUAUCACUCAUCUCUCACACAAAGACACAACAAAGAACCUACAGAAGAAACCCUAAAUUUCAUACCCAUAGAGGCAUCAAAAUCGGAAGAAAAAAAAUGAAACCUAACAUUCUUCACACAGUGCUCACUUUUUGUUUGUUUAGACCUCCAUACAAGAUGCUAAAUUCAACCUGAGUUGAGGCCUACACCCACGUAUAAACACAACAAACACACAGAAGCACCAACAAGAAACACACAUUCAAAAAAGAAAGAAGGACUAGAGAAGAGCAAAGAAAAAAAAGAGGAAAAUAAAACUCACCUUAAGGGGGGCUUCUUACCGGUAACACCCAGUUGGUAAUCAUUUUGCUCCGUUCACAAUAUUUCAUGCUUUUGUUUGCUUGAUGCUUUUAUCCUUUUUCCCUUUUCCAAAUUUGUGGUUUUGUACCGAUUAUCAAUUGAGGUCAUUUGGGUUGGUUUUUGAAAUAUGGGUUUGUGUCUCCGUGGUUCAAUUGAGAGGGUUAAAGUUGUUUCUUGGGAUUUUGGAGGUUAGAUUGAGAAUUAGGGUGUUUUUUUACCAAGGAAUUAGGGUGUUUGAAAACCUCCGUGGUGUUCAUCCGCGCCACCAUGUUUGUUCAUGAGCCCCACCGGGGCCUUCAUAGGCACCACUGACUUUAAUCUAACUGGGCUAUCUUUUUUGGGCUUUUUUAUGUGUGUUCAUAAGAAACAAGAAAUAAUUAAGAGAGUGUACAAGGAAGAGAGAGAAAGAAACUUUGAAAAUGAAGUUCCCUUGCCUAUUGACCAGGACCUUUGAUUCAUCUUUAACCCCUCUUUAGUAUAUGCAUCAAAUGCCUAUGAUUACAUCAUCUCAUUAGAUGGUUGUCAUUAAGUCAAAACAUUGACUCUAACCAGGCUCCUUUCCCUAAGCCUUUUGGGCCUUCUGCCCAACGCCAUUUUUGGGCCUUACCCCAAUGUUUUCCAUCUCAAACCCCCUCGUGUUUGGGCUUUUUAGUCCGUUAUAUUUGUUUUUGUUUUUAUUUAUCUUCUUUUGUUUAUUUUGUCUUUUUUUUCUUUUAUAUAAUAUUUGUAAAAUAAUAAUUAUAUUUUAUUAUAUG